GUACUUUGAGUACCUCCGUAGAAGGUACCAACUCACAAACAGCUUGUGCAGCUUCCUUUGAAAUUCCAUCAUUCAUCAGGUAAAGUUCCUCCAAGCUAGUUUGAGAUCUUAAUAGCUUUUCAAAUGCUCUUACUCCCUUCUCACCCAAUGCAUUGUCAGAGAUAUUCAGAUAUUUUAAAUGAGAACCCUCCAGAGCUUCAGAGAAAAUAUUCAUAACAUCAAGAGCUUCAGCCUCUGGUCUUCCAGCAACAAAAUCUGACAGAUCCACUUCCUUCAGUUGGUUCUUAAUGGAAGCCAGGAUUGGUCCG
rnacentral:lncRNA from 1 species